rnacentral:rRNA from 1 species
AGCGAACGCUGGCGGCAGGCCUAACACAUGCAAGUCGAACGAACCUUUCGGGGUUAGUGGCGGACGGGGGUGUAACACGUGGGAACGUUCCUUUAGGUUCGGAAUAACUCAGGGAAACUUGUGCUAAUACCGAAUGUGCCCUUCGGGGGAAAGAUUUAUCGCCUUUAGAGCGGCCCGCGUCUGAUUAGCUAGUUGGUUGAGGUAAUGGCUCACCAGGGCUACGAUCAGUAGCUGGUCUGAGAGGAUGAUCAGCCACAUUGGGUCUGUGACGCGGCCCAAAAUCCUACGGGAGGCAGCAGUGGGGAAUCUUGCGCAAUGGGCGAAAGCCUGACGCAGCCAUGCCGCGUGAAUGAUGAAGGUCUUAGGAUUGUAAAAUUCUUUCACCGGGGACGAUAAUGACGGUACCCGGAGAAGAAGCCCCGGCUAACUUCGUG